CUCAGGUCUUGAAGGUAUUAAUUCCCCUUGAGUCAAUUCUCUAAUCCUUUUGUUAGAGUUCUUCUUCUGUACCUGCUUCUUUGAGAAAAGCCGUUUCCCUAUAGAGUAAGAUAUUUCCAAAAGAGAAGUGAUAUGAAUCUUUGAGGAGCUGAGUGACUACCACAUGAAUAGAAGAUAAUGGGAUAUAUUUUAUCUGGAUUGAGAAGCAUCUGCCAAGUACAUCUCAGAGGAGCUGUCUGUUAAGAGGAGUUUAGAAUAGAUUGUUUACUCCAUCAAAUAUCAGCAGAAACUCUACUUUUGCCUUGAUUUCCUCCAUCUAUAUUCUCAGUUGUUAAAGCACAAAGAGAUUUUAGAGAGAAACAAGAAAAUAUUACAGCGUAAUGCAGCAACUAGAGGGAAAGAAUAGGCUUUUACUGGUAAGAGAAUGAAAUUACUUACUGUCCUGUUUCUAUAAUCUCCUGUUCUUUUUCCUACCUAGGGCUUGUAAUUAGAAGGAUUAAGGUCUAGAUACAAAGCCUGUUGCUACUGCUGGGAAUUCUGAUGUCAGCAGGGUUGAAAUCCAGCCCAUGAAUACAGCUUUAUCCAAGAAGGGAAAUAAAGGCCCAGAGAGCAACUCUUCCAAGAAGAGAAGUUGGACACCGGGAGCUGCUGAAUUAUUCUGUGUAUGAGGAAGCUUAUUUGGGAGACAUCACCUACUGCUCCCUCUGUAUUAUUUUCCUGACUGUGCAAACACUGGGCAUUUGUGCAGAGAGCAAACCUCUACCAGUGCAUGGCAACCCAGUGCAGUCCAGUGUGUUCCUGAAUACAUCAGCUGAGCUGUAAGAAUGUACAAGAUCUUUUCAGUGCCAGUGGGAAUGACUGGGAGUAAAUGAAGACAGAAUAUCACCCACAGUCUCAGUAGGAGAUUGCUUCCCACACUGACACGUGUGCUUGGAUAUUCAGAAGAAAUUAUAUGCACCGAAAAUACAACACAUUGUGUCACAGAACCUGGUAAUUUUGAAGAAAAAAAAUCAUUAAGAGCCAAGUUAUAUGCUACACCAGUAAGUAUAGUUUCUGUUGACAUCAUAUUCAUCCCUAGCAGCAGGAACCUUCAGUGUUACAUUUCAUAGCUGUGU
rnacentral:lncRNA from 1 species